rnacentral:rRNA from 1 species
CGGGUGAGUAACGCGUAGGUAACCUGCCUCAUAGCGGGGGAUAACUAUUGGAAACGAUAGCUAAUACCGCAUAACAGUAUUUACCGCAUGGUAGAUAUUUGAAAGGAGCAAUUGCUUCACUAUGAGAUGGACCUGCGUUGUAUUAGCUAGUUGGUGAGGUAACGGCUCACCAAGGCUUCGAUACAUAGCCGACCUGAGAGGGUGAUCGGCCACACUGGGACUGAGACACGGCCCAGACUCCUACGGGAGGCAGCAGUAGGGAAUCUUCGGCAAUGGGGGCAACCCUGACCGAGCAACGCCGCGUGAGUGAAGAAGGUUUUCGGAUCGUAAAGCUCUGUUGUAAGAGAAGAACGUGUGUGAGAGUGGAAAGUUCACACAGUGACGGUAUCUUACCAGAAAGGGACGGCUAACUACGUGCCAGCAGCCGCGGUAAUACGUAGGUCCCGAGCGUUGUCCGGAUUUAUUGGGCGUAAAGCGAGCGCAGGCGGUUUGAUAAGUCUGAAGUAAAAGGCUGUGGCUUAACCAUAGUACGCUUUGGAAACUGUCAAACUUGAGUGCAGAAGGGGAGAGUGGAAUUCCAUGUGUAGCG